CCCCACUCAGAGUUGUAUCUGGAGAAUUUCCAGUGCUCUACCAGUCUUGGCUAUAGGUGGGAGAAUCAAGCAGAGGCCUACCCAUUCCAUUUCUAGCUUGGACAGUGGCUAGCAAGUGGAACGUAAUCUGUUACAAGU